rnacentral:misc_RNA from 1 species
UCCACGCCCUCGUGCUCACCUCCUCACACAGAAGCAACGCAGACACACAAGGAAAGCGCGCGCGUGGAGCGAUGUUGCGUCGCCUGCACACGCGAAUCAUUGGCAUGGGCUCCGUCUGUGGCCACGCGCCGUCCCCGCCGGCAGAGCUGUUCCUCAAGACCCUUCCCUCGCCAUGCGACGUUGACCCGGCGAAGUACCGCCGCUUCCAGAGAGAGGAAACGGAAGCGCACGCCGCGCGGCCGCCCCUCACGACUGCUCCUGCCUCUCCGUUGAGCGCCCCAGAGCCGUUUUACGACGUGGUCGAUGCAGCAGCGGGACACAAGCACGUGGCCAUGCUCACGCGUGAGGGCAACCUCAUCACCGUCGGCGACAACCGGUACGGACAGACCGGGGCACUGAACUCGGAAGUGGAGGACAGCGGCGGUGACGCGGCGGCUUCCCCAUCUCUCUCCCGCAGCAGCACUCGCCAUGGCAGCGGAAGCAGCAGCGUCGUGCGUGCCUCGUCCGUCGUGGCCGAUCUUGACCCGCUCUACAUCGACCUCGACGGGGCGUUUCCGCAAACCGGUUCCUCCGUCAUCCGCGUCGCGUGCGGCUCGAACUUCACCCUGGUCUACCAGCGCAACGGUCGCCGUGUCAUUGCGUUUGGCAACAACCACAUGGGGCAGCUGGGGGUGGGGCACAAGCAGCGCAUAGACGGCGUGCGCGGGUUCAUGGAAUGGGAUCCGACGGCGUCGUGGUGGCCAGCAGGGCGGGCGAGUGUGCUAGAGACCGUGUACUGCGGCUUCAAUCACGCAGUGGCCACACUGAGCGACGGCGGACUCUACGCAUUUGGAUGCAACAACUGGGGGGAGCUCGGCAUCGGCAACAGCGACGCGCCAAUGUCGCCGACACGGAUCGCGUUCUUCGAGGAGCGCGGCAUGCGCGUCGUCAAAGUGGCCCUCGGCAACUCCUUCACCCUUUUUCUCACGAAGGAGGGACGCGUGUUUGGGUGCGGCGCGACAAACGGUGGCCAGCUGCCGCCGAACGCGUUCGACCCGGUGCCCAUCCCCCUCAUACGCUCUUUCCAGCAGCACGGAAGCGAUGAGGCGCCGCAUACGGUGGACGGCGCGCCAAAGCUGAUUCGCGUGAAGGACAUCGCCUGUGUCGGCAGCCUCGCCGCCUUUUUGAGCGCCAAGAACGAGCUCCUGAUUCAAGGGUCGCUGCCUGAGUACGGUGUCAUGAUCCCGUCGCCGCGCUUCGCGGCAGUGGACCAGGGCCCGGCGCUCAAGUACUUCGCCGCGCGCAUGGGUGCACAGACGUCGGAGACGGACUACGAUAUUGUGGGGCUGACGGGUGGUCCAUCCACGCUUCUGGUGCGGUAUCGCAACGGCUGCGUCGCCGCCCUCGGGGCCAACACAGAGGGUCAGCUGCACAAUGUCACCAAGGUCCUCAACGGCCAGCGCGUCAACCUCGCGCCAGCCUUCAAAGCGACCGAGCUUUUCCCGGUGUUUGUGCCGGCGGCGCCGCUGUGGGGCGCGGCGUGGUUUGCGUCGGGCAAGGGGUUCAACCUGCUUUUCGACAAGAACGAGGCCUACCACGUGCCUGAGGGCGCUGCGCCGAUUGAGCUGCCGCCCGGGAGCGGCAAUGCGCGGUGCGUCGCCCUCAAUCGCCAGCAGCGCCUUCGCGCAUCGCUCAAAUGAGCCGCAACACGCGUGCAUUUUGGUGGGUGCCCG